CUCCACGUAGAUUAGAAACCAAAGACUGAAAUACUAAAACCUGCUAAUAAAAAUGCAGAAAAGCAAAGUUUUUGUCAUUUUUCUCUAAAUUCAGGUUUAAUUGUAUUUCAGGUGAAGAUCCCGGAUCUCUCUGCUGUUGCGUUAAAACCAGAAAACCCUUUUUCUUCAGUGAGUCAUGCCUGUAGAGGACAGGCCUAGACCUCCACCCCUGUUUGAACAGAGUUACCGUGGAAACCUGAGCAAACAGAGGAGCUGUGGAGUGUGCUGGUGGGUACAGCGAGCACGCCGCUCCUUCAGGUAUGCUUGUGCGUUCCUCGCUGUCCGGUGUCCGGCCCCUUCUGGUAAACGGACACUGAUGCUGCACCUGCAGGGGAAAAAAAAUCUCAAAGAGCUCUUUCUUUGGAGGAGAGGCCACACAGGAUGAAGUGACGCACCGCAGAGCAGGAACUCACGGAAACUCACAAACUGAGACAACACUACUGAACCCAUUUCUGCACCUGGUGGAGGCCGCAGAGCACAGACGCUGAAGUUAUUUCUGGUUUUUACAUUAUCAUAUUUUCAUUUAUUUGGUUUAAAGUUCCAAAUGAUCAAAUUUUGAUCUAUUGUAAAAUAGCUGUAAGCAACACAAGAAUCUACAGCAGUCAGUUCUGGUCUCUUUUCCACAAAUUCACUUUUUCAUAUUCUGACCGCAAAGAACUGUGGGAUUCGUCUAAUACAGAGAUAAUAAAGGAAGAUUCUUCUGUCUAUAAGAGACACUCUGUUUUCUUCUGGGCCAUUUGACUCAUUAAAGGAGUCUCUCCUUUCAAAAUAAAGGCGUCUGACGGAGCUUCUAAUGACUCUUCGUGAUGACCGAAGAGGAAACACUUCACAUUUUCUUCUCCUCGCUGCUGCUCUGCAUCCUCAGCGCUGGUUCUUCUGCGUUCGUGUCACUUCAGGUGUAAACAGCUGCCUUGUUGUCAUGGUUACCUGCUCAGAGAUGCAGAAUGAACUUUUACGCUUGAAAUUGGAAGCAGAAAUCACAACGGAAUGGUCUGGAUGGAUGACGACAGCAGCGCAGCCUCCACAGGCUCAGUGUGAUCACACAUCCCGGAGCUGUGGUGCCACCAGCAGCAUGGCUGAAGAUCCUCCACGCUCUGUUCAGCGUGACACCAGCCGACGGUGUUACCGUGCUCUGAGGGAUUCGUGUCACCGUGGUUGACAGUCGGCGUGAGUAAGUGAAGACAGCCGGUCGGGCCUCGCAGAUUGGAGAUGAAUCAGCGGAGCGCUUCAUGUAUGAACCAGCUCGGGUGAUGCGAACCGCUUUCAGGCAGCGCUGAUCCCCGUCUGGAGGAUGUGAUCAGACGGAGACACGCCGGCCGUGACCAUGAUUAUUUAAGCGUUUGCAGGCAGCUCAGCAGCCUGACUUCAGCUCUGCUGCCUCUGAUGUGGUCUCCUCCGAUGGCGAGCAGAUGUGGAGAAACACAGGAAGCCCUUUUCAAAACGAGUCCUUCUGAGCCAAAACAUCUGCAGAGAACAUGUCCGUCCUCCGCCUGUAACGGCCUGCUGCCUUCAUCCUGAAGGGCGUCUGGUUUUUUGAUGGAACACAGCAGAAGAUCAUGUCAGUUUGACCAGAAAAGUAGC